UUGAACUGCUUACAUUAAAAAAGAUGGGGAGAAGAAGAUUGGAAUCAAACAGGAGAAAGAAAGAAAGCGAGACCUGAACUUACACUAACCUGUCAGAAUCGUUUUGGUGUGGGUGAGUUGUCAUAGAAGAAAGGUUGACCGGCGAUGGGUUGGGUUCAUUCUUUCUGGCUAUAGAUCUAGGUUUUGGUGUGGCUACGUAUGACAGUGAUCACCUGGUUAGGCCUUUGACCUUUGUUCACCGCGGUUGGCAUAUUAUUGCCAGUUUGAACCGGUGCCACAGUUCGACCCACGCAAGAUUCGACCCUGAGACCUCCUGGGCAGGAACCCGACAUAAGUAGGUAAACCUUCCCACCUCCCUCCAAACCAAUUGGUCAGUGGAUCAUUGGCUUUUUUGAGAUUUGUUAUUUGGGGAUUUUGACCUAAUUUGGUGGUGGUUAAAUUGCAUAGAAAUGAAUGGUUAGGGGUGAAAGGAAAAUGCUAACUGCUGCUACUGGAAUUGGUGGUGUGGUGGUGGUGGGGGUGGAGUGGUGGUCCAUGGUGGUAGGAUGAUGGUGUUCUAGGGUUGGGAGAUUGGGGAAGAUGUUAUUGUAUAUACGUAAUUUUUGUGGUUUUAUUUAUUAAGAAACAUU
rnacentral:lncRNA from 1 species